AUAUAAUUAUAUAAUAAAAAACACAAUCUGACUUAUCACAGGUCAUCAAAUAGAUAACCGGUUCUAAAAAAAACGAGAAAGCUACAAUGUAUCUUACGUCUUCAGUAAGUGUGACCUGGUUAUGAUGAUUGGUGUCUGUAUGUGUAGUGGUUUGCUUUAAAUUGCCUGUACUGCACAUACUGAGUUUAACCCUUUAGCUGCCUGAUGCGGAAUUCCACUUCCAGCAGCCUCAUUGAGGUGUUAUUAGCCAGCCCGGAUGUACUAUUAUGAAUUACGAACACAAUCCUAUGCACAGAGAGACAUUCAUUGGCUGAGAGUGAUCAGAAUACACUCUCACACACGGAAUGAGCAGCAGGAUCAAAUCCAACUGUCGCAAACCUGCUGCAAAGGAGAGCCGGUACUCAUUGGGGACGCCUGUAAGAGGGCAUACCAUUGUGAAGCAAUUUGCCCCUUUACUAAGGAAUGGCCACAUGGUACUUCUACCAUCAGAACAGAUACAGUGGUUACGAUUGUUUUAAAUAAAUGACUUCUAACACAUUUACUUGCAGAAAGCAUGCUUAGUAGACAUGUGCAUACACUUUUGUACGAAUACGAUUUAGUCCGAAAAUUCGUGGUUUUUCGUAUUCGUUUACUAAAACAUAAAUGAAAACCCU